rnacentral:piRNA from 1 species
CUCUAGAUAGUCAAGUUCUGAUC